GACGAACGCUGGCGGCGUGCUUAACACAUGCAAGUCGAACGGAAAGGCCCUGCUUUUGUGGGGUGCUCGUGUGGCGAGCGGGUGUGUCACACGUGAGUAACCUGCCCUUGACUUUGGGAUAACUUCAGGAAACUGGGGCUUAUACCGGAUAGGAGCUCCCCCUGCAUGGUGGGGGUUGGAAAGUUACGGCGGUUGGGGAUGGACUCGCGGCUUAUCAGCUUGUUGGUGGGGUAGUGGCUUACCAAGGCUUUGACGGGUAGCCGGCCUGAGAGGGUGACCGGCCACAUUGGGACUGAGAUACGGCCCAGACUCCUACGGGAGGCAGCAGUGGGGAAUAUUGCACAAUGGGCGGAAGCCUGAUGCAGCAACGCCGCGUGCGGGAUGACGGCCUUCGGGUUGUAAACCGCUUUCGCCUGGGACGAAGCGUGAGUGACGGUAAUGGGUAAAGAAGCACCGGCUAACUACGUG
rnacentral:rRNA from 1 species